rnacentral:rRNA from 1 species
CAGCAGCCGCGGUAAUACCGGCGGCCCGAGUGGCGGUCACUAUUAUUGGGCUUAAAGCGUCCGUAGCCGGGUUGGGAAGGCCUCCGGGAAAUCUGGCCGCUUAACGGUCAGAAUGCCGGAGGAUACUCCCAGCCUAGGGAGCGGGAGAGGCCGAGGGUAUUCCCGGAGUAGGGGUGAAAUCCUAUAAUCCCGGGAGGACCACCUGUGGCGAAGGCGCUCGGCUGGAACGCGUCCGACGGUGAGGGACGAAGGCCAGGGGAGCAAACCGGAUUAGAUACCCGGGUAGUCCUGGCUGUAAACGAUGCGGACUUUGUGUCGGACAAGCUAUGAGCUUGUCCGGUGCCGGAGGGAAACCGUUAAGUCCGCCGCCUGGGGAGUACGGCCGCAAGGUUGAAACUUAAAGGAAUUGGCGGG